UUACGGCCACAACACGUUGAAACACUUGUUCCCCUACAAUCGCCGAAGUUAAGCAACGUCGAGCCUGGUGUGAACCUAGAUGGGUGACCACUUGGGAAUAUCAAGUGCUGAAA